GCGGCGCCGGCGAGGGGACCGGCGGAGCCCGGCGAGAGCGCGCCCAGCCCCGCCGCGAUGCCCGCGCGCCCAGGUCGCCUCCUGCCCCGGCGCCUGCCCCUGGCCGCGCUGCUGCUGCUGCUCGGCGGCGGUGGCGGGCGCUGGGGCCUGCGCUGCGGGGCCCGGGCCCAGGAGCCCGGGGAGGCGGACGAGCCCCCCGCGGCCCCCGAGCAGGACCCGCACGCCAAGCACCUGUACACGGCCGACAUGUUCGAGCACGGCGUCCGGAGCGCCGCGCACUUCGUCAUGUUCUUCGCGCCCUGGUGUGGCCACUGCCAACGGCUGCAGCCCACGUGGAAUGUCCUGGGGGACAAGUACAACAGCAUGGAGGAUGCCAGAGUCUACGUGGCGAAGGUGGACUGCACAGCCGACUCGGAGGUGUGCUCUGCCCAGGGGGUUCGAGGAUACCCCACCUUAAAGUUUUUCAAACCUGGCCAAGAAGCUGUGAAGUACCAGGGUCCCCGGGACUUUGAGACCCUGGAAAAGUGGAUGCUUCAGAUGCUGAACGAGGAACCCGCUACGCCAGCGCCAGAAGCGGAGCCUCCCCAAGCCCCUGAGCCCAAGCAGGGGCUCUAUGAGCUCUCAGCCGGCAACUUCGAGCUGCACAUAGCACAAGGCAACCACUUUAUCAAGUUCUUCGCUCCAUGGUGUGGCCACUGCAAAGCCCUGGCUCCAGCCUGGGAGCAGCUGGCUCUGGGCCUCGAACAUUCCGAAGCCGUCAAGAUUGGCAAGGUUGAUUGCACGCAGCACCACGAACUGUGCUCGGGACACCAGGUGCGCGGCUAUCCCACCCUCCUCUGGUUCAGAGACGGUAAAAAGAUCGAUCAGUACAAGGGGAAGAGGGACUUGGAGGCGCUGAGAGAGUACGUGGGAUCGCAGCUGCAGAGUAGAGACGGGGGGACCCCAGAGACCGUCGAGCCCUCAGAGGCCCCCGCGCAGGCUGCUGAGCCUGCUGCUGACCAGAGCACAGUAUUGGCACUGACCGAAAGCAACUUCGAUGACACUGUGGCAGAAGGAAUAACCUUCAUCAAGUUUUUUGCUCCCUGGUGAGUGGCCGUUUCGUUCGAAAUGGUUUUGUCCUCAUGCACUUAAGUCACAGGAUGUUUUUCAUCAGCUCAUUAAUCAACCCGCCAGACUCCGUGUUGGGCAGAUAAGUGCAUUUACACGUCAGUGGGAACGGUGCAGGCUCAUGGGCUGAGGUCAUGUUGCUAGAAAUCAGGAAAUGCUAUCAUGAGGCUCACAUACUCAGAUUGAGUGCCAAACCUUCUCAAAUUUGAUCACCAGCAUCUCAGAAUUUCAAAACAACUUCAAAGCUUCCUUUUAUGCAGCAGCAAGUUGGUGGAGCUCUGAGGCCACUGUUUGGUUUCGUUCACACCCUCCCUUCUCCCGUUACUUUAUUCCCUUUUCUUUUCUGACCCUCCCCCCACUAUAUGAACCUCCCACCUUCAGUUAAAGGGGGCCUUUGUACAUCAUACUUGAUCUAUAUAGCUUUAGGGUUUUGUUUUUUUUUUAAUAGAAGAUACUCGUUUUAAAGACACUAAUCUUUAUUCCUUAAGCAAAAUUGCACAGCUCUUAUGAGUUAUGGGCCGAUUAAUUUUUUGUCUUUGCUAUUAUCUCAUGAAUACUUGGAGAGCAACAGAUUGAAGAGCAAAGUGGUGUGUGUUUCCUGCUCCUUUUCUUUUGUUCAUGAUGUGUUCGUCAACCAGUUAGCUUAGUUGACCAUAUCACGGCAGUAGUCUGCAAAAUCUAAACGUGCUUUCAGAUCAGCUUACUUCCAGCAGGUGUGGCCAUUGUAAGAACCUGGCUCCGACUUGGGAGGAACUCGCAAAAAAGGAAUUCCCUGGUUUGGCAGAGGUCAAGAUAGCUGAAGUAGACUGUACAGCUGAACGCGCUAUUUGCAGCAAAUACUCAGUA